AAAAAUAUUUAUCUAAUAUAUUUUUAAAACCGUUAAAGUUAGGGGACGUUUUUGUCCCCGAACAACACAUUAGGGUGUUUGCGAACAAUGCAUGAGGGUUAGGACUCGGUGUAGCUGGAGUUUGAAGCGGCGGAACGUUAGCUAAACAUGGCGCAGACCCCCGGAGUAGAUUAUAGAUGUUUGAAAACACAUUUUCUGAAUUUAAAAAGUUAUUUUCAUCCUAAAAAACUAUUUUCUCUCCGAGCGCGAGCCCCUUUUUCCUCUACGUUUCCGCUACGUCACUUCCUGCUAUGAGCUACCGUGACGGGGCUUCCACGAUUAGCUGAAGAAGCUUCGAUAAAACCUGACUUUGAGGUCUGAGAGACACCCGCAGCCUGUGAGGACACCCCAUGGAGCACCUGGACAGGGUGUGGCUGCUGCUGCUGUGCAGUCUGAACUCAGGUCAGUCCAACACAAACACACACUGAAGGACACACACACACCUGACUCUGACAGCAGGAAGUGAGCGGUCAGGACUCGGCUGUGGUCACAUGAUGUUCAGACUUUGGACUCUGACAGAUUUGCAUGAUGCCGAUCUAAGAGUGAGCGGCUGUACAGAGUCUUUGUUCUCUGCUUCAGUCUGAUCUAACAGUGAACACAUGCAGACGAGUGACGACAGAGCUGCUGCUGCUCCGACUGCUCUGACUGCUCCGACUGCUCCGACUGGUCUGGGUGCUCUGGGUGCUCUGGGUGCUCUGGUAUAAAUAAUGACAGCUGACUGACAGUCUGAAUGUGACCACUGGAUUCACACACACUGCAGGAUCUUUAAUGAAACACUUCACAGCAGAUCAGAGCAGCUUGGACUUUCCCAUGGACCUUGAAUGCAUCACAUGUUCAGUCUGACUCAAACCAAACUGUUAUUCUGCACACAGAGCUGCAGGUGUUACCAUAGCAACAUAAACAUUGACAUCAUCACAGAGCUCCUCUGUCAUGCUGCACACUGAUGGUCUCUGACUUCUUGUUGUCUCUCAGUGGUCUGCCAGCUCCAUGUUGAAGGACAUGUCAACGAGGAGGUGGUCCUGCCGUGUGUCUACACCGAAGGUGACUCUUCAUCCAACGUCUUCUGGAGGGACAAGGACAACCUCUUUGUCCUUGACAUCAUCGGUGGUGUGGAACAAACACAGACACAGAAUGAGAGGUUCAGAGGUCGGGUGUCCAGCUUCCCCGCAGAGUACCACAAGGGGAACUUCUCCAUCACCAUGAAGGACCUCACUAUGGAGGACAGUGGACCAUAUGAGUGCCAUAUACCAGAUGACUUCCAGAGGGACAUCACACUGACAGUCAACGCUCCUCGUGUUGUACCUACACCACCUCCAUCUCCUGCAGGCGGUGCAGCAGUAACACAUCCCUCCACCUGGCUCUGCUCUCUGCUCCUCUGUCUGUGCUCCUCCGCUGUAUAAAGUAGAUCCUGGUCAGUGAGGUAAAACAGGAAGUAUUCCAGGCAGCUUUAAAACCUACAUUUCCACAAUAAAGGUUUAAUUUCAGCACGUGUCAGCAGAGAUGAUGCACACAUGAAGAACAGUACAUGUUCUAUAUUUACUCCAGGAUGUAAACAGGAAGUCUGGAAUUAGACCUUUACAGCAUUUAAACUCUGCAUUCAUUAGUUCUGCUCUGUACAACGUAAUCGACAAGACAUCCUGACACCCACAGGGGGCGCUGUUGGGCCAGGACUGUGUGUUUGAGGUGGAUGUUAACAUGUUGCUGAUGUAACUCUGUUAUUGUAAAUAAUAAGUCACAGUCAGGAUAAUAUUUAUUUAUUGAUGUGUCUGACUCCAUCCAAAGAAGGAAACAUGGAGCUCUUAGUUUAUCCUGUCAAAACUCAUUAAAGGAUCGACGCUCUGGUAUUUCUGUCAGAUUGGACAGUUUGUGUCACACGUGUCUGAUUGGUUACUAUGAUGCUUUGCUAUAGGGAUC
ensembl:lncRNA